GAUGAACGCUGGCGGCGUGCCUAAUACAUGCAAGUCGAGCGAACGGACGAGAAGCUUGCUUCUCUGCUGUUAGCGGCGGACGGGUGAGUAACACGUGGAUCACCUACCUAUAAGACUGGGAUAACUUCGGGAAACCGUAGCUAAUACCGGCUCAUAUUUUGUACCGCAUGGUUCAAAAGUGAAAGACGGUCUUGCUGUCACUUAUAGAUGGUUCCGCGCUGCAUUAGCUAGUUGGUAAGGUAACGGCUCACCAAGGCAACGAUGCGUAGCUGACCUGAGAGGGUGAUCGGCCACACUGGAACUGAGACACGGUCCAGACUCCUACGGGAGGCAGCAGUAGGGAAUCUUCCGCAAUGGGCGAAAGCCUGACGGAGCAACGCCGCGUGAGUGAUGAAGGUCUUCGGAUCGUAAAACUCUGUUAUUAGGGAAGAACAUAUGUGUAAGUAACUGUGCACAUCUUGACGGUACCUAAUCAGAAAGCCACGGCUAACUACGUG
rnacentral:rRNA from 1 species